rnacentral:rRNA from 1 species
UACGUAGGGUGCAAGCGUUAAUCGGAUUUACUGGGCGUAAAGCGUGCGCAGGCGGCUCGGUAAGACAGGUGUGAAAUCCCUGGGCUCAACCUAGGAAUUGCGCUUGUGACUGGCGGGCUAGAGUGCGGUAGAGGGAGGUGGAAUUCCGCGUGUAGCAGUGAAAUGCGUAGAUAUCAGGAGGAACACCGAUGGCGAAGGCAGCCUCCUGGGAUUGUACUGACGCUCAUGCACGAAAGCGUGGGGAGCAAACAGG